rnacentral:rRNA from 1 species
UACGAGGGGGGCGAGCGUUGUUCGGAAUUAUUGGGCGUAAAGGGCGCGUAGGCGGUGCGGUAAGUCACCUGUGAAACCUCUAGGCUUAACCUAGAGCCUGCAGGCGAAACUGCCGUGCUGGAGUGUGGGAGAGGCGAGUGGAACUCCUGGUGUAGCGGUGGAAUGCGCAGAUAUCAGGAAGAACACCAACGGCGAAGGCAGCUCGCUGGGACGGAACUGACGCUAAGGCGCGAAAGCGUGGGGAGCGAACAGG